UGGCGGACGGGUGAGUAACGCGUGGGUAACCUGCCUUGUACAGGGGGAUAACAGUUGGAAACGGCUGCUAAUACCGCAUAAGCGCACAGUACCGCAUGGUACCGUGUGAAAAACUCCGGUGGUAUGAGAUGGACCCGCGUCUGAUUAGCUAGUUGGUGGGGUAACGGCCUACCAAGGCGACGAUCAGUAGCCGACCUGAGAGGGUGACCGGCCACAUUGGGACUGAGACACGGCCCAA
rnacentral:rRNA from 1 species